rnacentral:lncRNA from 1 species
UGCUAUCUAUGAUGUCUUCACUUAUGGAUAUAUUUAUUAACAAGUACUUAUUAGCUAUUUAACAUUUCCUCUACUGAGUGUUAUUAAUUACAGAUGCUGUAUUAGUUUCCUAAGGCUGCUGUAACAAAUUACCACAAACGUGGUGACUUAAAACAACAGAAAUUUAUUCUCUCACGGUUCUGGAGGCCAGAAGUUCAAAAUACAGCUGGGACCAAAGGCAUCUCUAAGGAAGGAUACAGUCCUUGCCUCUUCCAGGGUUCUGUGCCUCCUGUUGGAAUGAGCUCACUAACCAGUGGAAACAAACUGUUUAUCCUUCUAUGAUGUUGCAACUGCCUGGGCUUUCUAAUGCGUCUUCAGAUUUCGGUUUGUACUCAGAACAAGUGAGAAAAGUUUUACAGCAACUCCACGAAACAAAGCAGACAGGCUCUCCUGAAGCCAAGGAGUUAUGAAAAAGGCAGGCAUCGCGCAUUGAAUCAAGUAUGCCAUUACCCUCACUCCCAUGAACCUGUCUUUCAGCACAAUCCAUGACAGCAAGAAGACAAAGGCUUUGUUACAACAGAACAGAGCGGAGACAUCCGUGGCCGUCAGCUUCUUUAAAGCCAGUAAAUAAAGGUAAUUAGUCAAAGUCCAUAGAAUAGAAAAGGGAGCAGUUCUUUUAAGAAAGAGUUUCAGCGUCAGACCAUCUUCACCAAAAAUCCGACUGCAUUCCCUAGGAAAGAAAAGAGAAGUUAAUAUCCAGGUACUGAUGGUGACACCUCUUGUCUUAUCUGACUCAUCGCAGCCAUUUUCAGGUCUGGCUCUCUUACCCAGGCUGGAAUGCGGUAGCAUGAUCUUGGCUCACUGCAACCUCCGCCUCCCAGACUCGAGCCAUCCUCACACCUCAGCCUCCUGAGUAGCUGGGACUACAGGCACGCACCACCAUGCCAGGCUAGUUUUUGAAAUUUUUUUGUAGAGACAGACAGGAUUUCACUCUGUUGCCUAGGCUGGUCUCAAACUCUUAAGCUCAGGUGAUCUGCUCACCUUGGCCUCCCAAAGUGCUGAGAUUACAGGCAAGAGCCACUGCACCUGGCUCUGAGGGGCCAUUUUAAUAAAAAUGUUCAAGCUAGCAAUACAUACAGGCAAUAAUGGAAGUGAUACAAUGACUGUACCUAUACGACUAUGGACUGAAGACAGACUUACCACUGGGAGAAUUUUAAUUUUUUUCCCACUCGAUUGUUCAUGAACAUUCAAGUAUUUAUGGGGUAACUGUCAUGCUCCAGGCAUUGUAUUUUCAUGAGUAGUAUAUGUUUAUAAUGAAAUCUAUUUACAGGACUCUAGUACUAGUUUCUUUUCCAGUUUUAACUGAAAUUAGUGUGCCUCAAAGUAUUGCAAAUCAAAGUAAAUUCUAGCCAAUGUUUGCCUCACAUGAAUAACCCCAAAAAAGGACCACGUGGAGAGGAGGAGUGACAAAGAAUUAGGCACAGGGAGUAUAGCCUUAAAGAUUAAGUUUCAUAGUAAAUGUGACUUUCAACUGGAUGAGAAUGUUGGGAGUUGCAGGUCACCGGUUCCAGGAAGGUUAAAGACAUGUGUUGCACACACAGAAACUUGUAUUGAAAUUUGUUUACUUUCAUGUAAGGAGGCUUCCAAAAAGGAAGGAUUUUUGUAAAAUGAAAGUAAGAUUUCCCAAAGAUAAAUUUUAACUUUAAAGCCUUCUGUAAUGUAAACAGAAAUUACACACGCUCACAUACACAGGAAAGUGAACAGUCUCUUUGAAGCCCCACAGCCAAUGGGAUAUUCUGAAUUAGCACCAUACAUAGAACCAGAGGAAGUUUUCAUAGAGCAUCCUGGGCACAAAGUUCAUUUUCUGUACUUAUAAGGCGAUCUGCUCCGUGAGAAAGCUGCCGUGUAGAGCUGGAGUUGAGAGUCGUGGGUUUAUCCCAUCAUUUACAACUACUGAUUGCCUUUUAAAAUAUGAACACAUUUAUUAAGAACCACAACAAAACCCAUUCCUGAUUAAAGGAUAUCUUUUUCUUAUCACUGGCCCUAGCCAGUGAUUGUUCUUCAACCAAGAGCUGGGAGGAGUGCUCCUAAGCAAAGAUUUUGGAUGCAGGAAAGGAACACUCCAAUCCCACAGGGAAGACCAACAGAUGUGUAUUCCAGACAGACAGAGCCUCACUGGCAGAGCAGCUGGGAAGACGCUGCUGACUGACAGGUGGAGACUGUUCUCACCUGGCUCAACCUGUCUUCCAGGUGUUCAUUCCCUCGUUCUUCCCCUUUCUUUCCCCUUCUCUCACUGCCGACCUUCUCCCCUUUGUUACUGUUGUUGUAGAAAUUAAAAAUGCUCUCCAUCUAAAUGCCAGGUCACUUGUGUAAAAUCCCAUACUAUUUAAGCAUUAAACUCUAAGAAACAUGAAAACUGAAAAAAAAAUAUGGAUUUUUAUGGAGAAGCGAAUAACAGUGGGUUUCUCUUUGGGAUGAUGAGAUCAGACUUUCUGGGCAAGUGGCAUUGACAGGUGGUAUAGCUUGAAAUGAAGCAUAGAAGUUGGAGGACACUAAUAAUUUAGUUAUGCUUAUUAUUAAAACAGCAGCCACUAGUUGUUGAACCCUGUCUAUAUGUUAAAUAGCAUCUUAAGCAUAUUUUAUAGUAAGCAUAUUUUAUAGGUGCCUGACAUAGGCAAAUAUGUCUUUGGCUCCAGUUUGAUGCUAUCUAAGAUUUUUCCCCUAAGAAAACGUCCUUGUUAAUAAUAUGGUAUAUAUUUUUUUCUUCCUAAAUUUCAAAUUCACUUGAGGCAAUUGAAUUCUCUUGUAGUAUAUAAAUGAUUAUAAAAAACUACUUCUAAAUACAGUCCUUACCAUCUAGAUUUGAUACUUCAUUGAAAAUUAUUUUGAUAUUACUGAUAAAAAAAUACUGGAAAUGCUUUCAUACCAUUCUAGAGAAAAUAGAUUCUGGUGCUAUGGGACAAAUUCUAUUUCCAGUCUUACACACUAACUCUAUUCUUCCCUUGUUCAGUCAUGAGAGCUUCGGGAGUAACUUCUGGAGUAACUUCUUGGCAGAUGGUAUUAAUGAGUCUACAGGGAAAAAAAGAUCGAGAAUCUAAGAAUUGUCUGACAAUUUUACCUCUCAUAUGGAGGAGGCCAUUGGAGAACAUUCCCUUCAGAGAUAGUAUUUUCUGCUUGACAAUAAAAGCUCUGAUUCUAUUUCAGAAAUGGUCAGCUUCACUCUACAUGCACUAUAGGUAGAGUGCUAAAUCAGAUUUUACUAAGUUCAGAGUUAGUCUGACAUGAGAGAUGUGGAAAAAAUGAAGUGCAUUCCCAAAACAACACUUCUGCUAGCAGCAGUCUCUUGUUUUAAAUCAGUUAUCUUAAACUGACUUAACUUGCUUUGAGGUAUUCUUGAGAUACUUCUUUUUAUAUAAAACUUUUGUUGUUUUAAAUCAAUGUGUGUCUAAACCAUGGAAGCAUUCAAGUAGAACACACACACUGUACAGGUGCACAUAGGUAUCUUCAAACAGGAACAACUGUAGUCUGAUAAUCACAUUCCCCUAUAAAUACUGUUUAAAAAUUUUACAAUGCAAGAUCAUGUCUAUUUGGAUGGGAAUCAAAUAUAAAAUAUCUUUAGUAAUCUCAAAUAGUCAUAGGGCUCUCCCCCAAUCCAGUAAGCAUUUACUCUCUUUGAAUUGCUUUUUAAUUCUUUAAUUAUAGCUGAGUUUUCAUAGACACAUAUAGAAAAUCAACUCACGGUGAGAAUUAAUAUUCCCAAGCACUUGCAAAGUGGUGAUAGGAAAUUAUAGCUCAUGCCUAUAAUCCCAGCACUUUGGGAGGCCAAAAACCGCAUGAUUAUCUCAAUAGAUGCAGAAAAGGCCUUCGACAAAAUUCAACACCCCUUCAUACUAAAAGUUCUUAAACUAGGUAUGGAUGGAACGUAUCUAUCUCAAAAUAAUAAGACCUAUUUAUGACAGACUCACA